CCUACGGGUGGCUGCAGUGGGGAAUAUUGCACAAUGGGCGCAAGCCUGAUGCAGCCAUGCCGCGUGUGUGAAGAAGGCCUUCGGGUUGUAAAGCACUUUCAGCGGGGAGGAAGGCGGUGAGGUUAAUAACCUCAUCGAUUGACGUUACCCGCAGAAGAAGCACCGGCUAACUCCGUGCCAGCAGCCGCGGUAAUACGGAGGGUGCAAGCGUUAAUCGGAAUUACUGGGCGUAAAGCGCACGCAGGCGGUCUGUCAAGUCGGAUGUGAAAUCCCCGGGCUCAACCUGGGAACUGCAUUCGAAACUGGCAGGCUAGAGUCUUGUAGAGGGGGGUAGAAUUCCAGGUGUAGCGGUGAAAUGCGUAGAGAUCUGGAGGAAUACCGGUGGCGAAGACGGCCCCCUGGACAAAGACAGACGCUCAGGUGCGAAAGCGUGGGGAGCAAACAGGAUUAGAUACCCGUGUAGUC
rnacentral:rRNA from 1 species